AUUGCUCCCCCUGAGCG
rnacentral:misc_RNA from 1 species